CGCUUCUGCUGGGUGUGACCGGAAGAGGGGGAAGGGGAUGGGGCCUUUCCCCGCAGUUUUUGGAAAGAUGAGGACUAAUGAAGGCAACAGAAGUAAUUUUAAGAAUGAGACACCCAAUAAGGUAAAACCAGACAAUGUAAAUCCACCCAUUUGUAUUGGUGGUUAUUUCUAAUUCUGAAAGCUCGGUGGCAUUAUUUCCAUGUUUUAAAAAUAAAGGAUGUCUCUCAUUCAGGUCACAUAACAUCCAAGUGGCUACUGCUGGAAGACUUGAAAAUUGCAAGCGUCUUGUUUAAAUAUUUCUCAUCAGCAAAAAGCUCAAAACAUCACUGUAGAGUCUGUUGUAAAAGUUCAGACAUCAGAAAGCAAGCACACAAAAAAUAAAAGGCAUUUUAAAGAUG